rnacentral:rRNA from 1 species
CUUUACGGCCACACCUCCCUGAGCACGCCGAUCUCGUCUGAUCUCGGAAGCUAAGCAGGGUCGGGCCCGGUUAGUACUUGGAUGGGAGACCGCCUGGAAUACCAGGUGCUGUAAGCC